rnacentral:piRNA from 1 species
UUCCAGUAGAGUUGCCAAUAUUUUUCA